UGGGGAAUAUUCCACAAUGGGCGCAAGCCUGAUGCAGCCAUGCCGCGUGUGUGAAGAAGGCCUUCGGGUUGUAAAGCACUUUCAGCGGGGAGGAAGGCGUUAAGGUUAAUAACCUUGGCGAUUGACGUUACCCGCAGAAGAAGCACCGGCUAACUCCGUGCCAGCAGCCGCGGUAAUACGGAGGGUGCAAGCGUUAAUCGGAAUUACUGGGCGUAAAGCGCACGCAGGCGGUCUGUCAAGUCGGAUGUGAAAUCCCCGGGCUCAACCUGGGAACUGCAUUCGAAACUGGCAGGCUAGAGUCUUGUAGAGGGGGGUAGAAUUCCAGGUGUAGCGGUGAAAUGCGUAGAGAUCUGGAGGAAUACCGGUGGCGAAGGCGGCCCCCUGGACGAAGACUGACGCUCAGGUGCGAAAGCGUGGGGAGCAAACAGG
rnacentral:rRNA from 1 species